AACUUGAAACGCAGCUAGGAUCGUCUUGAACUUCUGAUCCUCUUGCCUGCACUUUCCAUGCACUGGAAUUAUAGGUAUCUACCAUCACGCACCAUUUAUGGAAAUUCUUAAAGAAUUUUAUUAUUUUCAAAUUCUUUUUUAUGUUCUAAUAUUGCCAAAGGCUUGUUUUUUUUUAAAGUUUAAACUACAGAAAAAUAAAGAAAUGUCUUUCUUCUCUAUACCUACCCCAUGUAGACAUUCAUAAUUGAGGGUAUAUUUUGUUCUACACACACUUUAAAAAAUGGGUGUAAUGAAUUUUAUGUAAAUAGUAGCACUCAAAGCAUGCAGCUUUGUUAACUUGGACUCUUAAGUAUACAUAUCUUAAAUAUUAUUACAUACCAAUAUACUUAGAAUUUUUCCAUAGUGAAUGCCAUAUUAUAGUUGACCACUUUCUUAUUGAUGGCCAUUUAGAUUAGCUUUUAUUUUUUAAAAAAAGUAAUUAUUUCAUUUCCAAAUGUGUGUGUGUGUGUGUGUGUGUGUGUGUGUGUGUGUUUCAGUGGAAAUUUUCCUUAAGUAACUAAAUAAGCAGCCAGUGACCAAGGCCUAGGGGAAAAAUGUAUUUUUUAAGUUUUUGUUUUUAUUUUGUUUUUAACCACAUGAAAGAUGACAAGAGAGUCUCCACUGGACCUAAUGUUUCCUUGAAAGUCUCUGCUAUAACCCUAAGAUACUAAACAACCAUCACCCAGUCUGUAUGCACAGAAGACUAAAGAAGAAGAGAGAGAGGAAGUUAUUGAAGAGAAUUGCCUGUCUGGGAAAAAUGGGGUGUGGCUUUCUGUCCCUCCAAAGCCAAGCGAGGGCGGUUCUCUCUGGAUGAAGAUGGGAUACUUCCACAAGGUGACCAGGGUUGUACUUCCAGCUGGCCCACCUGCUCAGACCAGGGCAUUGUGGUUCUGGCUUCAUCUUGCAUGGAUGUUUAGGAAAAGGUUGAAUCAUCAUCUCCUGUCUGUCAAUUUCAGACUGCUCAACAACAAGGUUGUUUAGUUGUUUUUUUCAUGCUAAACAUCUUUGUAUAUGUGCUCAGAUAGACAUGAUCAUUCUUAGAAUGGCGUGUCAAACGCUGUCCCACUGAACAUUUUGUUAAAUAUAGCCAAAACAGCGCCCCAAUUUACACCCUUUAUCAGAGCACAGACACAUUUAGGAGUGCUAUUUGCACCAAUAUUAAAGCUUCACACUUUAAAAUAAAAUGCAUGCAACAUCAAGAAAGCAAAAUGCUUUUCUGUCUCUUUCAUUUUGGAGCAGAGGUUGGCAAACACAGCCCUGUCCGGGUCAGGGUUAGCCUACCACCUAUGCUUUACCUUGUGGGAGAGGGAAAGACUUGGCAGACAUUGAAUUAAGAGCCAGGUUCCACCCCUUUCUCCUGGAUCACAGUGUACCCACUCACUUCUAUACCAUCGUAGAUGCUUUGUGUUCAGUGGCAGAGAUGAUGUGUGGCAUGUAAACUGAACACACUUAGAAUCUUUAUAGGCAAAAACAAUCAAAAUGAAACAAAACAACAACAAAACAAAACAACAACAACAACAAACAGAAACAAAACCCCUCCACUGUAUCCAGCUCUGGAGCAGGAAGACACAGGUCCUCCACCACACCCUUUGGGUGGGCGUGUAAAACUGCUGGGGCAGCAGUUGAAAAUGUGUUUGUGUAUUUUACUGUCGCUAUUAUUUCUGGUGCCAGAUCAUCCCACGUCUUAGUGUCCUCACACCCUUCAGCUCCAGGGAGAGGAAGCAAAGGCAUGAUGGUGUGGCGUGAAUCCAACCCCUGAGCCAGCUGCAGGUGGGGCUAGGAGGAGCCUGUGCACUGCUCUUCAAUGCCAUUGGUUGCUGAGCUGGUGAAGUAGACAGAGGCUGCAGGAGGCUAGCGUUAAAGCCCUCUGCGCCUACUUGAGCAUCCAACAGAGCCUGCUGUCUUAGGCAUUGACAACCCCAGUUCUGGAGGAAACAACCAUCUUCUCUUUUCCCCUUUCCUCCUAAAACCUCUAUUCUUCCUUAUCUAAACCCACUCCUAGUUGCUUUUAUUGCUGGGAAGAGUGGUAAGUGGCUUCUGGAUGAUCUUUACUUAGCAUACUCUAAGUCAACACUUCUUUUAGAAACACACCUAAAACAAAUAUAAGUCAUAUUUUCCAGAAGAAAAACCAUGGUAAAGAAAAUAAUAAUUUGAGGGAGCCAGAUGCAAUGGUCCUAGGAGGAGAUUGGGAGUCUCAGACCACUCUAAGCUACAAGGCUGUCUGAAAAAAAAAGUUUUUAUUGGUUCUAGGUACUGAACGCAGAGCUUUAUCUAUGCCAAGGACUUGCUAUGUGUCUUUUUUUCCCCUUUAAUUCUUCCCCUAUGUAAAUAUUUGUGUUUGUUCAGUAGCUCCUAAUCGCCACCCUGAGUGGUCCAAUGCUCUACACUGGAGUGUCUGUCCACCAGGAUCACUGACUUCAUGCAGUACAGGAGAAAGUGAGCAAGCUUCAAAUCAGAAACUAAAGGGAUGCCCAAAGGCUGCAUAUGAGGUCAGCAUAGGGUUCUAUAGGACUUGACCACCUCAGAGUUGAGGGUCACAUCUAGCAUCUGAGCUGGCCAUGUGAGCUGUAGUGAAUUAGCAGAGCCCACAGGCUAAGUAGGCAGAGGGGCCUGAAAAGAAACCAGGUCACAAAGGCCUCUCAAGACUGCUCCGGAGCCAGGACUCUGGCUAGGACUCUGUUCUUCAGGCAUCUUGAGUAAGAAAGGACUCCAGAGAGUAACAACAAGGUUGAAAACAACAAGCAUAUUCAGUUAGCAAUUUGGAGGAUAUAAGCAGUACAAUCUAAAUAAGAGAAUUCUUCAAGAAUAACCUUGAGCUAUGACUUGUCAUGUACUGGUUACUGUUUGAGUACGUUCUGUUGCUGUGAUAAGUACCAUGACCAAAAGCAACUUUCAGGCCACAGCCUAUCACUGAGGGAAGUCAAGGCAGAAAACUCAUGGCAGAAACCAUGGAGGAGCACUGCUUACUGGCUUGCUUCCUAGCCAACUUGCCUAGGGAUUGACACCUUCUACGGUGGGCUAGAUCCUCUCACAAUAAUCAUCAGUCAAGACACUCCCUCACAGAUGUGACCCCAGGGCACUCUGAUCUAGCCAAUACUUCAGUUGAGAUGCCUCAGAUGACACUGAAGCUGAAGCUAACUAGGACAAUCACUCUUUUCAUUGCUGUGACCAAAUACUUAACUGACUAUCAGCAAUUUAAGUAAGGAGAGGAGAGUAUAGUUUGGCUCGAAUUUUAAGGAGUGAAAGUCCAUCACGGUUAGGAAGGCACAGCAGCGGGAACACGAUGCAGCUGAUCACACUGAGUCUGUAGUCAUAAAGGCAUC
rnacentral:lncRNA from 1 species